rnacentral:misc_RNA from 1 species
CCGCGUGUCGAGUCAAGUGGAGUCGCUGAUCUACUGGCGGUCGGCGGCGCACAGCGGCGCGGCGCUGGGCGCGGGGCUGGCGCUGCUGGUGGCGCUGGCCUGCUGCUCCGUGGUGUCGGUGCUGGCCUACGCCUCGCUGCUGGCGCUCUCCGCCGCCGUCGCCUUCCGCAUCUACAAGAACGUGCUACAAGCCGUACAGAAGACUAAUGAUGGACACCCCUUCAAAUGGCUGCUGGAGCGCGACGUGAGCGUGCCGGCGGAGCGCGCGCAGGCGCUGGCGGCCGCCGCCACCGCGCACCUCAACGCCGCGCUCGCCGAGCUGCGCAGGUUGUUCCUGGUGGAGGACCUGGUGGACUCGCUGAAGUUCGGCGUGCUGCUGUGGUGCCUCACGUACGUCGGCGCCUGCUUCAACGGCAUCACGCUCAUCAUACUCGGCUGGAUAGCGCUGUUCACGCUGCCGAAGGCGUACGAGAUGAACAAGGCGCAGGUGGACGCCAACCUCGAGCUCGCCCGCGCCAAGAUCAACGACAUCUCCGCCAAGGUGCGGGCGGCUGUGCCGCUGGGCCGGAAGGCGGAGAGCGACAAGGAGAAGUAGGCGCCAGGCUGCACGCGAGCGCCCUGUACUUCACUGUUUGUUAUAUUUAUUAUUAUGUACUAUUAAAGAUAACUACUUUACGUGUAAAGCUUUAUGAGACGAGUCAUGCGGAGAUUAUUGUAUUUGCUUUUUGAAAUUUUAAAUUAAAAUAACUGUCGAACCGA